GGGCGAGUGGUGGAAUUGGUAGACGCGCCGCACUCAAAAUGCGGUACUUAGGUGUGCGAGUUCGAGUCUCGCCUCGCCCA
rnacentral:tRNA from 2 species